rnacentral:rRNA from 1 species
GACGAACGCUGGCGGCGUGCUUAACACAUGCAAGUCGAACGGAAAGGCCUCUUUCGGGGGGUACUCGAGUGGCGAACGGGUGAGUAACACGUGAGUAACCUGCCCUUGACUUUGGGAUAACUUCAGGAAACUGGGGCUAAUACCGGAUAGGAGCUCCUGCUGCAUGGUGGGGGUUGGAAAGUUUCGGCGGUUGGGGAUGGACUCGCGGCUUAUCAGCUUGUUGGUGGGGUAGUGGCUUACCAAGGCUUUGACGGGUAGCCGGCCUGAGAGGGUGACCGGCCACAUUGGGACUGAGAUACGGCCCAGACUCUUACGGGAGGCAGCAGUGGGGAAUAUUGCACAAUGGGUGGAAGCCUGAUGCAGCAACGCCGUGUGCGGGAUGACGGCCUUCGGGUUGUAAACCGCUUUCGCUCAUGACGAAGCUUUGUGUGACGGUAGUGGGUAAAGAAGCACCGGCUAACUACGUG